UCUAUCACUUGGCGCCGGGUUCAGGGUGAUCAAGAAUGCUCUAACCCUGGGUGGAGGCUCACCAUUGCACCUCAGUGAGAUGAAACUCGCGACGUACCCUAAUCGGGUGCGCUCGGGUGUGUAGUUUUUAUCAGUGGGAAGGCCUCAUGGUCCUCCCUU
rnacentral:snRNA from 1 species